CUUUUUGCGGAUGAAGGUUUGGCAAGAUCUUUUUCUGGCUUCUGACGACCGACUUCUGAGGUGAGCGGCGGACGGGUGAGUAACGCGUGGGUGACCUGCCUGGGAGACCGGGAUAACAGUUCGAAAGGGCUGCUAAUACCGGAUGAUAUCGUUUUAUUAGGGUAAAACGAUCAAAGCGUUUAGCGCUCUCGGAUGGGCCCGCGUCCCAUUAGUUAGUUGGUAGGGUAAUGGCCUACCAAGGCUGCGAUGGGUAGCCGGUCUGAGAGGAUGGUCGGCCACACUGGGACUGAGACACGGCCCAGACUCCUACGGGAGGCAGCAGUGGGGAAUUUUGCGCAAUGGGGGAAACCUUGACGCAGCGACGCCGCGUGAGUGAUGAAGGCCUUCGGGUUGUAAAGCUCUGUUGGGGGGGAAGAUAGUGACGGUACCCCCUGAGGAAGCCCCGGCUAACUACGUGCCAGCAGCCGCGGUAAGACGUAGGGGGCGAGCGUUGUCCGGAAUUACUGGGCGUAAAGGGCGUGUAGGCGGCUUUUCAAGUCGGCUGUGAAAUUCCCCGGCUUAACCGGGGGGGUGCAGUCGAAACUGAUGGGCUUGAGUGCAGGAGAGGGUGGUGGAAUUCCCGGUGUAGCGGUGACAUGCGUAGAUAUCGGGAGGAACACCGGUGGCGAAGGCGACCUCCUGGCCUGUUACUGACGCUGAGGCGCGAAAGCUGGGGGAGCAAACAGGAUUAGAUACCCUGGUAGUCCCAGCUGUAAACUCUGGGUACUAGGUGUGGGGGGCUUCGAUGCCCUCUGUGCCGUAGUUAACGCAUUAAGUACCCCGCCUGGGGAGUACGAUCGCAA
rnacentral:rRNA from 1 species